GACGAACGCUGGCGGCGUGCUUAACACAUGCAAGUCGAACGGAAAGGCCCUGCUUUUGUGGGGUGCUCGAGUGGCGAACGGGUGAGUAACACGUGAGUAACCUGCCCUUGACUUUGGGAUAACUUCAGGAAACUGGGGCUAAUACCGGAUAGGAGCUCCUGCUGCAUGGUGGGGGUUGGAAAGUUUCGGCGGUUGGGGAUGGACUCGCGGCUUAUCAGCUUGUUGGUGGGGUAGUGGCUUACCAAGGCUUUGACGGGUAGCCGGCCUUAGAGGGUGACCGGCCACAUUGGGACUGAGAUACGGCCCAGACUCCUACGGGAGGCAGCAGUGGGGAAUAUUUCACAAUGGGCGGAAGCCUGAUGCAGCAACGCCGCGUGCGGGAUGACGGCCUUCGGGUUGUAAACCGCUUUCGCCUGUGACGAAGCGUGAGUGACGGUAAUGGGUAAAGAAGCACCGGCUAACUACGUG
rnacentral:rRNA from 1 species